rnacentral:rRNA from 1 species
GGCGAACGGGUGAGUAACACGUGAGUAACCUGCCCUUGACUCUGGGAUAACCUCCGGAAACGGAAGCUAAUACCGGAUAUGACGCACGGAGGCAUCUCCUGUGCGUGGAAAGAACUUCGGUCAAGGAUGGACUCGCGGCCUAUCAGGUAGUUGGUGAGGUAACGGCUCACCAAGCCUACGACGGGUAGCCGGCCUGAGAGGGUGAGCGGCCACACUGGGACUGAGACACGGCCCAGACUCCUACGGGAGGCAGCAGUGGGGAAUAUUGCACAAUGGGCGCAAGCCUGAUGCAGCAACGCCGCGUGAGGGACGACGGUCUUCGGGUUGUAAACCUCUUUUAGUAGGGAAGAAGCGAAAGUGACGGUACCUGCAGAAAAAGCACCGGCUAACUACGUGCCAGCAGCCGCGGUAAUACGUAGGGUGCGAGCGUUGUCCGGAAUUAUUGGGCGUAAAGAGCUCGUAGGCGGUCUGUCGCGUCUGCUGUGAAAACCCGAGGCUCAACCUCGGGCCUGCAGUGGGUACGGGCAGACUAGAGUGCGGUAGGGGAGAAUGGAAUUCCUGGUGUAGCGGUGGAAUGCGCAGAUAUCAGGAGGAACACCGAUGGCGAAGGCAGUUCUCUGGGCCGUAACUGACGCUGAGGAGCGAAAGCGUGGGGAGCGAACAGGAUUAGAUACCCUGGUAGUCCACGCCGUAAACGUUGGGCGCUAGAUGUGGGGACCAUUCCACGGUUUCCGUGUCGCAGCUAACGCAUUAAGCGCCCCGCCUGGGGAGUACGGCCGCAAGGCUAAAACUCAAAGGAAUUGA